CGGAGUCUAUUGUGCAAUUAAUCUUUUUAAUGAAUCGAUAUCGAUCAAUAUCAUUUGCAACAUGAAUUCAACAAAUUCUGCAAAAUUAAUAGUAUGGAUAUUGAAAAUGGACUUGGGUUGGUUCCAGAGCACGCCCUUGCCCAGUUAACUCACUAUUGAAAAGUGAAUUUUGGUACAAGUAAAGGGGUGCCAAGUCUAUAUGGCACACUAUCGUUCUUUAUUUUGCCAAGGGAAAUGUUAAGACGGAUGCGCCUACGUGGUAGCGCCACAUCCAUCCAUUUGGAGGUGGACCCCACUUAAAAAAACAUAAAUAAAAAAUAUGGGACCCACCCCAAAAUGGGUGGAUGUGCCUGUCUGAACAGCUCUCAUUUUGCCAAUUAAGUGUCGAUUGGGAAGUGUGUCUCAGAAUUAGAAGGUUUUUGCAAUAUUAAUUUCCAGUCCCAGUAAUAGUGUAGUAGCUACCUCGUAUGGUAAUUUUGAAACUGACAUCUUAUUAAUUGACACAAUUUUGGUUAAGAAAACAACUUCUAAACUGUUAAAACAUUGAUUACGAGAAUUUAAUGUUUUGAUAUUUUCAAGAAUCAAUUUGUACAAAAGUAAAAAUUUUGACUGUUAACAUAUAUUUUGUAUAUACACAAAAUAUAUUAUGAUAUUAAUAUAUUCUGAAUUCUCUAAUUGAUUACUCGAAUUAUCAUAUACCAUAAUAUUAUUGAUUGAUAUGUUUACACCUUAUUUACAUUAUUGGAUUUACCUUAUGUAAACCAAUUCCUUUCUUGAUCACCUCUAUAUAAAGAGGACUCAUGGUUUUUUUUUUUUUUCUUCUAUCAUUAUUUUCACGGAAUAGCAUAAAGAAAUUCCCUCAUUCUCUCUUCUCUCUCCAUUCUGACAUGGUAUCAGAAGCCACAUCCGGUGGCCAAACCUUUCCCUAAACCCUCUGGCAACGGCUCUGCACCCAUUGGCGAAGAACAAAACCCGCCGACCAACUAUUCAACUUAUUUCAUCCUUCUGCAACCCUAAAAACCCUCCACCAUCCACCACCAGUUCAAAUCUAGUCCAAAAUAGCAACUUUUGAGCCUCGAUUCUUUUCAAAUUCUACUCCGAUUUGCCUUUUCAUAAUACCAAAGUGUUUGUAUUGAAGAAACGAUUCCAAAACACAAAAAAUAGUCGAAAUCCACCCACCCAUGCGCCCUCACGCGCCACCACCAUCGCGACGCGUUAGAUCCACGCGCCACACGCGCCAGCCGAGGAAGACGACGCGUGAUACCCACGCGCCCAUGCGCAACGCACCACACGUGAUCCCCACGCGCAACGCGCCAUAGACGUCACUGCCACGUCAACCCGUCGCGUCAUCCGUCACGUCAGCGCCAUGUCAUCCGCCAUGUCAGCACUCCUACCACGUCAGCAUCCUGACACGUUAGCACAUUGCCACGUAACUGCCACGUCAGCGCCACGUAGGUACCACGUCAGAACUUGCUUGGUAAGUUACACUGUAAGCCCCUGAGUUUAUUUAAAAUUUCGUUUUAGUUCAAAAAAAAAAAAUCUUUAAAAAUUCUGUUCUAGUUCCAAAAAAAAAAAAAUAUAUAUACUAUAAUAUAUUUCUGUUACAUGAUGGCCCACAACCGGAAGUAUCCCAGCCUUCUCCAUUCCUUGACGACUCAAAUAUCGUAUAUGGUUCUCAGCAUGCAGCGUUUCCUUAGAACUAGGGACUCUUGGACAUACAUUACCGGCGAUGCCCAACCACCCCAUUGUUUUUUCGAAAAGACCAUGAUGAUGAGAUCUCUACAUAUCCAGUAUCAAUCUCACUUGAAGACUGGGACUAUGGUCAACUCCAGAUAUAUUGGUUUCAAACACUUUCAGUCUCAUCCAUCCAUUGGCUUUUACUCCAUCGAGACUGCCAGGAAGUAUGGAAUUAUUUGAUUUGACCGAUAUUUUCAAUUGAUGGCCGCCAAUGGACAGGUACCAGUUGGGAUUGAGAUUAUCACCUGCGUUUCGAUUUAGGUCAAACUCCUACUAUUUUGACCACAAACUGUCAAAUUUAUGGAAUCAUCUUGCCCAGUGCGAACCUACUUGGACCUGUCCCACUGAUGUGCUGCUUUUUAUGCCACCGAGACUGAUCUCGUCUCGUCACUUUCUCAUAACUCUUCCUCCUGAUUAUGAGUAAAUACGGGGCUUCUCUUCUUAAUCGCCAUCCUUUAUAAUUGGCCAAGCCUUUCCGAACUCAGAAUGGAAAAGACCACAGAAGAAUAUGGUUUAUCAGCAUCUCAGCCUGUUUGGGCACACCUACAACCACCAUCCCAGUCUGUUCAGGGUCCUAGCUCAAAAAAAGACCAUCUAGCUCUCAGAGAAAUAUUGCAAAGUUUGAAGAUGAGACAUCACCUUAUGAAGAUUGUAGCCUCGCUCCAAGUCCAAACGCAAGGGGUACCACAACCGUCAGAUGCUGCUGUCACUGACUCUUUGGCCGUCUCCUGACUGUUCUUCUUCACCCUUAAUGUUGACUGAUGUCGAGCCAUAGUCACCCAGGUUCAUCACGCAUAAUCUUCAUUUCAUUGCUCUCUCAACCACUUUAGGUACUUUACCUUGGCUUUUGAUACAGCCUAUUGCAAUCAUAUGAGUUCUGAUACUUCUUUAUUUUCUAUCCACACAUUCCACUUCCUUUUAUACAAUCCUAUUCACACAGUGAUGGCUCUCUUAGAUACUACUCACACUGGCACUAUUAGCACUCCUGAUCUUACUUAUUGGACCAUACCUACAUAUUCCUGCCUUCUCUCAUAAUUAUUAUCUGUUGGUCCACUCCUGUGAAUGAAUUGGUUUUCACUUACAUUUUUCCAAUUCUAGUGUUUUGUUCAGGAUCUGGGAUGGAAAAACCAUUGGGACCGGCCGUAAGUGGGGACUUUUGUUUGAAUUGGAGUCUCUUCAUGCCCCUCAUCGGUCGUUGUUGGCUGCGUCUAGUUCAAGUAGUCAUGUUUCUUUUGGUCUAUGCACUCCUCUUUAGUCCUGCUUCCUUUUUCAACACUACAAAUUGAUUUCUCGUGUUAUUAGAUUCCUGUUAAAACUGAAUCUACUUUCCAUUGUCUGCUUGCCAAACUAAAAACAACAUGCGUUACCUUUUUUCAUACAUAGUGAUUUCUCUUGCCAGGCACCGGGGGACCUUGUCACUCUGAUAUGUGGGGGCCCUUCUCUAUCUCUACUAUUCUUCGUUCUCGAUCUUUUAUCAUUUUGUAUUGAUGAUACUCUUGGAUAUAUAUAGAUGUAUCUUAGCAUAAUAGGUCUGAGUUACUUGGUAUUUAUGAUGAGUUUCAAAAAAUGGUCCAAACACAUUUUCGUAAAUCAAAACGUUUUCGUUCUGACAAUGCCCAGAAAGUAUCAACCACACUAAUUUCUUCACAUUCAACAAAAUGGCACACUCCCGACAUUCAUCUUGUCCUGGUACUUCUAAACAAAAUGGCCGUGCAGAGGCAAAUGUUUGGCACAUAGUGGAACACGGUCUGUGCCCUGCUCAUUUCGGCUCUGCACUGAAUCUUUUUGUAGAGAACUCACCCUUACUGCUGUCUACACCAUCAAUCGCACACCGUCAUUAGUCACAACCACUAUGCUCCUUCUGAAAAAUUAUAUAGCACUACCCUAAUUACAACCUCUGAUGUUUUUGGGAGUUUGGGAGUACAUGUUUUUGUUCUCUCCAAUCUCCUGACCAUACCUAAGUUAGAAUCUCGUUCUCGACUUUGUUAUUUCUUAGGGUAUGGUAUUGAAAUAUAAGAUAUCGUUGUUAUGAAUCCUAUCUCCAAACGUUUUCGCAUUCGCGCCAUUUUGAAUGUGGGAAAGAGGUUAGUUUUUCAGACAUUUCUAAAACUCUUACACACCAUCUGGUCUUGGGUCGCCUCUCUUUCUGAUCCUUCUUUAGAUAUUAAUCUUGCCUUUAGUCUGUUGCUCCAUUUCUGCAGUUCGCACCUUCAAAAUCUACCAUCUCGCAUCAUGGACGUUCCAUGCUUUCCCCCACCAGCUUUCGCCUCCGUUCCUUAUCCCCCUAUUAGUUGUUUCCACCAGAGUAAGAACUUCACCUUCUCAUCGUUAUUAUUAUCAGUGUUUAUUUUGCUUUUCUACUUUGGCAUGAGCCUCGCAAUUUUCGUGAAGGCCUCCUCUAACCUAUUGGUAAGAGCUAUUAAAGAUGAAUUGGAUGCUCUUGAUAAAACUCAUACAUGGACCUGGUUGAUUUCUGUCUGGAAAUCUAUUGUUGGAUGUCAAAUGAAUUUAUAAGAUUAAGACUCAGGCCAGAUGGUCACUGUUGUAGGUACAAAGCACGUCUGUUGCCCGUGGUUUUACCAGGAAUAUGGGAUUGAUUAGAGGAUACUUGUUGGCUCCUGUUUCUCAUUGUUACCUCUAUUCCGUACCCUUAUUGCUGUUGCGGCAUUUCGUGUGAACGGGGUCUCUUUCAAUAGAUGUGAAGAUGCCUUUCUCAAUGGCGAUUUACAAGAAAGGUAAUAUGACUCCUCCUCUUGGUGCUAUGCUCAUGCUCUGCAUCCAGGGUCGGUCGUCUACGCCGUGCCCAUAUUAUUUCAAUCAACUCCUCGAGCCUGAUUUGCUAAUUCAGUUCCACUGUCAGCUUGGGUUUUAUUUUAGCAUUGUGAUUCGGCCCUCUUUCGCAAGAAGUUCACUAAGGUACUGUUCCUGGCUUCUCUUAUAUGUGGAUGACAUGAUUAUUAACGUAUGAAGAAAAAUUUGGAUAGUAAUUGCAACUCUUAAAAAGUUUUUUUUUCUCGUCUGCAGGUGGGAAAGGAAGAAUUUGCAAUCUUAAGUUAUUUUUUUGGGCAUUUGCUUGUUUCCUCUACUUCUGAUGGCUAUUCACUUUCGAACAAAUAUGCUUCUGAUUCGCUUUGUCUAGUGCUGGCCUCACUGAUAACAAGAACUGUCGACACCCAUUAUAAAAUAACGUCCGUUAAUACGUCUGAUGAGAACCACUUCUGACCUACGUAAUAUCAUCAGCUUGUUGGUAGUCCUGAUUUAUA
rnacentral:lncRNA from 1 species